rnacentral:misc_RNA from 1 species
UUUUUUUUUUUUUUUUUGAUGGUUGUUUUUUUUUCCUACUCAAAUAAGUGGGAAUAUUUGGGCUACUCUGCUAAAAUCAGUGCUCUUCCCAAUGAAUAUUAUUGGUUUUCACUUGCACUCUGGGGUCUGGGCAUGCAUAAGGGAUCCCCUUCACUACUUGCUGAAAUUUUAUUUCAUAUGAGCAACAUGCAAGUUUGGGAUCCUUAUGUUAUUUGGUUUUAGAUUAUAAUUUAGUUUCUCUACAUGCUUCAGGUAUGUGCUCCAUCAUGCCAUGA